AAUGCACCAAUUUGUAAGUCGCUCUGGAUAAGAGCGUUUGCUAAAUGACUUAAC
rfam:Salmo salar isolate Sally breed double haploid chromosome ssa26, whole genome shotgun sequence.